rnacentral:rRNA from 1 species
CUCGGUGACGAUGGCGGAGAGGUCACACCCGUUCCCAUCCCGAACACGGAAGUUAAGCUCUCCAGCGC